rnacentral:lncRNA from 1 species
GUUUCACUUCAGCGGCCUCGUGGGGAGCACAGCUGGGACAUUCUGGCAAUGGAAUUCAGCGGGAUCAGGCCUGAGGUGGGAGGUGAGGGUAUAUAACAGCGAUGAAAAGGAGAUGCAACUCCUUGGAGAUUGGACCUGGCUGAACACCAGGCUGGGGUUCAGUGGAUUGGAUGGGGACAUCAUGCAUGUGGUACCUUCAGGGAGUGUGAGGGCUGAGGGGGUCCCUCACCGUGAGGGCUGAGGGGCUCUGUCAGGGUGUGUGAGGGCAGAGGGGGUCCCUCAUGGUAUAUGAGAUCUGAGGGGCUCUGUCAGGGUGUGUGAGGGCGGAGGGGGUCCCUCAGUAUGAGGGCUGGGGGGGUUCCCUCAGUGUGAGGGCUGAGAGGUCUGUCAGGGUGUGUGAGGGCUGAGGGGGUCCCUCCCUGUGAGGGCUGAGGGAUCUGUCAGGGUGUGAGGGCUGAGGGGGUCCUCAGUGUGAGGGCUGAGGGGGUCCAUCAGGGUGUGUGAGGGCUGGAGGGGUCCCUGGUGGUUUGUGAGGGCUGAGCGGGUCCCUCUCCCCACACCGGAGCCGUUUUACCUGCCCGUAGAGGAGCUCUGGCGAAGAUGCCCCUGACAGAACAUCACCUGUAGCAACACGGAAUGUCCGCACCAUCGAGAGGAGCCGCUUGGUGUCACUCCUCCAUCGUCAGAGCUGUGUGGAGCGGAGGAAACACCGGCGCCGUGUUCGCGGUCGGUGUCUCCUGUGGCUGCAUUGCUGGAGGCAGCAGCUACUGCACACCUGAGUUUGGAAUCGCCUUCACCUCUGCUUCCUGUGGCUGCAGGAUGGAGGGUAAUAAGGAAUACUUACUAGGAUAAAUCCUGUUGGAUCAGGCUCCAGCUGUUUAUCUUUGGGACAUGCUGACUGAGGCAUUUCAUGGAACCUGUUAGUUGACAGAGAGGGAGAGAGGUGAGAGGGGAGUGUU